CGACCUGUGGCUCAAUGAGUAGAGCGCCUGGUCCACAUCCAGGAGGUUGCAGGGGCGGAACCUGCCAGGUCGACCA
rnacentral:tRNA from 1 species